rnacentral:rRNA from 1 species
GACGAACGCUGGCGGCGUGCUUAACACAUGCAAGUCGAACGAUGAGCCCGGAGCUUGCUCCGGUGGAUUAGUGGCGAACGGGUGAGUAACACGUGAGUAACCUGCCCUUGACUCUGGGAUAACUGCGGGAAACUGUAGCUAAUACCGGAUACGACCCUCGGCGGCAUCGCCAGGGGGUGGAAAGAAUUUCGGUCAAGGAUGGACUCGCGGCCUAUCAGCUAGUUAGUGAGGUAACGGCUCACCAAGGCGACGACGGGUAGCCGGCCUGAGAGGGUGACCGGCCAAAAUGGGACUGAGACACGGCCCAGACUCCUACGGGAGGCAGCAGUGGGGAAUAUUGCACAAUGGGCGCAAGCCUGAUGCAGCAACGCCGCGUGAGGGAUGACGGCCUUCGGGUUGUAAACCUCUUUUAGUAGGGAAGAAGCGAAAGUGACGGUACCUGCAGAAAAAGCACCGGCUAACUACGUGCCAGCCGCCGCAGUAA